CCUCAGGCAAGGGGGAGAGGACAAACGAAUGCAAACUCAGGAGGAAGCAGGUAGCAAUCCCUCAUUCAUCAACUCAUCUCGUCUCAGUUCCAAGAAGUUUAUGAGAUGGCUUACCAAAAAUACAUAUAAGGUGCCAGGAGGGAUUUCCCGGCGGUGAGGAGAGGAGAAAUGAAGACGACUUCAUCAGGGAGGCAGUCGAGGCUCCCAGCGCUCCGGGAAGGAGGGAGAGGGGCCCACUGCCCACCCCGAGUGGGCAGGGGCCUUCUGUGCCAUCGCCCAGCACCGAGGACAGCGCCUGGCACAGAGUCUUUGCAGAAGAGUUGGAGUCUCGUUUAUAUCUGCACACUCUCACCUGCAUUUCUCACAGUUGCACCUGCUGGACAGUGUGUAACUUUGGGAAUGGAACCUCAGUUCCCCCGAAACUUUCGUCUGUAAAUGGAACUACUGUGCCUCCCUGGGGGUGGGAGAGAAGAUAAAUGAAACCAUCUCUUCGCUCAUUCCAGCAAAUAUUUACUGUGUACCUACAGCACGUCAGGCACUGUUCUAAAUC